rnacentral:rRNA from 1 species
UGGGGAAUAUUGCACAAUGGGGGAAACCCUGAUGCAGCGACGCCGCGUGGAGGAUGAAGGUUUUCGGAUUGUAAACUCCUGUUAAGAGGGAAGAAAAGCGUAUGGCUAAUACCUAUACGUGUUGACGGUACCUCUAGAGAAAGCUCCGGCUAACUUCGUGCCAGCAGCCGCGGUAAUACGAAGGGAGCGAGCGUUAUUCGGAAUAACUGGGCGUAAAGAGCGUGCAGGUGGCCCAUUAAGUCAGUUGUUAAAGAUCACGGCUCAACCGUGAGACAGCAAUUGAAACUGGUAGGCUAGAGUACAGAAGAGAGAAGUGGAAUUCUAGGAGUAGCGGUAAAAUGCGUAGAUCU